AUUGAACGCUGGCGGCAGGCCUAACACAUGCAAGUCGAACGAGUGGCGGACGGGUGAGUAAUGUCUGGGAAACUGCACGAUGGAGGGGGGUAACUACUGGAAACGGUAGCUAAUACCGCAUACCCAAGGAUGUGCCCAGAUGGGAUGAGCUAGUAGGUGGGGUAACGGCUCAACUAGGCGACGAUCCCUAGCUGGUCUGAGAGGAUGACCAGCCACACUGGAACUGAGACACGGUCCAUACUCCUACGGGAGGAAGCAGUGGGGAAUAUUGCACUAUGGGCGAAAGCCUGAUGCAGCCAUGCCGCGUGUAUGAAGAAGGCCUUCGGGUUGUAAAGUACUUUCAGCGAGGAGGCGUUACUCGCAGAAGAAGCACCGGCUAACUCCGUGCCAGCAGCCGCGGUAAUUC
rnacentral:rRNA from 1 species